rnacentral:lncRNA from 1 species
UGUAACCGUUCUUCCAUAUCUUUCUCUUUCCCUCUGCAAUAAAGCCACAACCACAACUCACUCUCUUUUCCAAAUCAAAGAAAUGGCCAUCGCCACCACUAUAUCUAUACUACAAUCAUCCUCCGUUCGUAACGUCACCAGAAGCUCAGCUCCCAAGCGAAGGUCGCUCGAUUUUCCUUCAAUUUUUUGAAAUCGAAGCAAAUAUGAAUCUAUUUUUCGAAAUCUGAUCCUCCGCCCUCCCGCUUCGCCACUCAUAUUCCACGAUGAAUAAUGGCAACGCCUAACCACUAAUCCACUGAUAGAAUGUUGAAAUCUGAGCUUCUCAAUCACCCGAUGGUAUGGAAAAGUUGUUCCCAUCCUCAACAAUUGUUCGCUUAGCUUCCCCUCUGGACAGUUCUGGAUGCUUCUUGUCCCCAAUGGCUGUGGAAAAUUCAUCCUCAAAAGUAUGUAUGCACAUACUACAUACUUCUAGUUUAAAUUAUAUCUUUUAAUUCCAAAAUUUUAACAUUAUUUCCAAUUUAAAGCAUGGACACAAACUUUUGGGUGUUGCAGGAUUGUUCUUGCUGUGUGCAUUGAUUGCUUGUACCUUUCUUCGUCUGGAGUGCCUUCUUUCUUUUUUAAAGUAUGAAUUUCCAAUUUAAAGCAUAGAUACAAAGCUCAUUUUCUCUAUUCAAGUAAGGAAUCAUAAGCAGAAGCCUUCGGGUUGUAUAACAUCACAUAGUUUGUUACUACUUACUUUUAUUCAAAAAUUUCAAUUAUACAUUGCGCUGGGUGCUUCUUAUCAUAACCAAGUUGGCUUUUAGUUAUAAUAACAAGUUAAUUAAAUAGACAAUCACUAACAUUUCACUUCGGUUACUACUUACUCACUCAAAAAUAAAAUUACCGAUCACUCACCGACUUUAAAAAAAAAAAAAAAAAACCCACGUGGUAGAUGAAGGUCAUAUGUGGACGUAACGGUGUUAAAUAUUUUGACAACGUGGACCAAAAUCAAUUAAAUUUAAAUAGGUUUUUUCUUCCAAAUUUUCCAUUGCAUUUUUCCCAGAACACUGGGCGAUUGUCUGGGGCCCCAAAUCAAUUUCUACUCCACAACAUUACUCAAUUCUUCCUUGCAUCAAAUCCAAAUCACCCCAAAUCAAGAAACCAUUGCAUAUUGAACUCCCGUUGGAAAAAUCCCCAAAUUCAUAUGAACCCAUAAAUUCCUUUACAUGCCCCACAAAUGGCGGACAACAUUAUUAUUGAAGAAGUAAUCUUGGAGACAACAUAUGAGGGACCACAAGGAGGUAAUAUCCUAAAAUAUUUUUGGAGGAACACUUUAUUGGACCACUUUGUCAAACACUUUGUUUUUGGAAUAUCAAGUGUUGUACUCAGUUACAUUGAAUUUUCAUUUUUUUUAAUUGCAAUACUUUCUCAAAUUUUAGUGAUUAUAACAUUUUCUUCGUAUAUUUUCAUGGCUUUAUGCUAUCUAUUUUGUGGGUUUCCAUUUCUUCAGUUAUGUCAGUUUUCUUCUGAUUUUAGAGCUCUCGUUAUUACAUCUCAAUGACAAUCUUGUAUGCGGUGAUAGACUUCAAUGUUUUGCCACUUGUUUUUCUGGAAAUUUUUUUCACUAAAUAAUAAUUAAAACACAUGCUGGCCAGUAUAAAAUUUUUUUCACUAAAUUUUUUUCAGUAGUAAUGCUUCUUGUUACUGCUGAAAUUCAGGUACAGAUACUAAUUUCCCAUUUACAGAUAAAAAUUUAAAAAUAUUGAUGCUAUUGAUCUUUGGUUGCUAAUGUUGUAUAUCUUUAAAAAUACUGAUGCUACUUAUACUUUAAAAAGGCAAGACUUUGUGGAUUUAGGCAGAAGCUCAACGAUGCUACUUAAUAAAUGAAGAAAUUUGGGCAGAAAGAAUUAUUAUAUGUGGUAAAGGAAUCAUUUUGUGCAUGUAUCUUUGACCAUUUGUAAUCUGAAAUCUUGAACAGGAACUGAUUGUGAUUGUCACAAUCUGUCAUAUGACAUUUUUGGUUAAUAUCAUAUAUAAAUUGGGGAUUUAAGGGAUGACAAGAGUUCAAGUUUACAUAAGGGCACUGACUCCACAAAACACAGAAAUUUGGGCAGAAUGACACUGAUGUAUUUAGGCAAAAGGGCACUUAUAUUUUGGUUUCCCUUCAUUUUUGGGUAAAUAUCUUUACUUCAAAAAAAUUUCCAGCGAAGGAUCUUUCCACAACAAACAUAAAAUGUAACCAACAUGAACACAAAAGGAACCUAUUCAAUUAAAAACUGCAAAAAAAAAAAAAAAAAAAAAAAUCUGAUUUCCAUUGAAGAUUCCCCAACCAUCAAUACAACACAUACACCUACCACUACAACCAUUGACUCCACAAUUAUGUCAAACAGCCGAACAUCUACCAUCACCAUCUACAUUCCUACAUGAUCAAGACUUUCAAACACCAACAACAACCUACCAGUUACACAUUCAAAACACAGUAACAACCUAUUAAAUGUUCCCUGUAAUUUCAAUCAGAAUCAGCACAUAAAUUUGUGAUGUAAUCUUCACUUUGAUCAAGCCAAAUCCCAAAACAGUCUUUCGGAGUUGUUCUCCAUCCAUGAGGACUUUGUGACAGCUCUCUAACCACAAUGACACAAAAUUUGUAAGAAAUUCUAUGAUAUCAUGAAGAAUUUUCCAUGAUGAGGUAAAAUAAUUGGUUUUCUUUAUAGGGUUCGUUUCAAUUUGAGAGCGAUUCGGGGGUGGUUUGGAUUCUUGGUUUCCCUGGAGAGAUUGGUCUGGAAGGAAAGGUUUGUUGAUUUGGGUGGAAAUUGAAGGGUUGUUAUGGAGAAAAAAUGGAUUUAGG